AAUAGGAUGCAAAAGGAGGAGGGGAAGAAGAGCGAGAGAAGUGUGACAGGAGCAGAGGGAGGAGCUGGUAGAGACGAGGAGGGAGGCGGAAAGACAAUGUCUGGAGAAUAUAAAGCGGAACGAGGAGGAUGAGAUUGAGAUGGAGGAGAUAGUGAGAGAGCUGGCCACAAAUAUAAAGCUGGUGAAGAGAUAGCAAAAGAUUGAGGAUAAAAAAAUAGGGCAGAAGAGUUCAUCAAGAAGCUAGAAGAGUGCACAAUGAAAGUGGUAGAGAUGAGAAGAGAGGUGGAGAGAAAGUCUAAAGAAAGAGGGAGGAGGAAAAGAGAGAGGAAGCUGGAGAGGGAGACAGGAAGCAAAGACUAUUUGAGGGGGAGAGGAAUAAAAACAUUGGAGAAGAGAGAGAGUGAGCUGUUUGAGCAAAGAAAACAACAGAGGAGACUAAGAGCUAUAUAAAAAAAACAUAUGCACUGGUUAUUAGAAUUGAAGAGGAGAACGAGCAGAGAGAAUAGAAAGCUAGAAGAGCAGAAAAAAGAGAGAGAGAGGCGGAGAGGAGAAAAGAGGUGAGGCCAACAAUGUCAAGAAGAGACAAAAAAAAAAAAAGUAUCUGAAUGAAUGGGUGGCGGGAAAAGAGGACAAGGGAGAGCUGAAUAACACCGCUGUGGGAAUUGACGAUAACCUCUGCCAAUUGAUAAAGAUUGUUCAAUUUCUUCCCUUCGUCACUUCCAACAAGCAUGGUGCAAAGACUUUUCCAUCUUUGCAGCAGGGGGAAAAGCCCACCUCUCACCACUUGUGCCGCAAGAACGCUGGGAGAAAGAGUUUAGCUAAGAUCCUGAAGCCCCUAAAGAGCAGAAAGUAGCCAGUCGAG